rnacentral:rRNA from 1 species
CACGGACCAAGGAGUCUAUCAUGUGCACGAGUCAUUGGGUCUACUAAACCCAUUGGCGAAGUGAAAGCGAAAGUGCUUCUUUAAAAGUACUGAGGGCUGAUCCUAGUCCUCGUGACUGGGCGCAAGCUCGGGACUUGCCAUCCCCAUUGUGGGAGGUUAGUACCAGGAGUGCACCUGGUAGGACCCGAAAGAUGGUGAACUAUGCCCGGCCAGGACGAAGCCAGAGGAAACUCUGGUGGAGGUCCGUAGCGAUUCUGACGUGCAAAUCGAUCGUCGGAGCUGGGUAUAGGGGCGAAAGACUAAUCGAACUAUCUAGUAGCUGGUUCCCUCCGAAGUUUCCCUUAGGAUAGCUGGUGCUCGAAUGACAGAGUUUCAUUCGGUAAAGCGAAUGAUUAGAGGUCUUGGGGACGAAACGUCCUCAACCUAUUCUCAAACUUUAAAUGGGUGAGAAGUCGGGCUUGCUUGAAUAGUGAAGCUCCGACAGUAAAUCUGAGUGCCUAGUGGGCCAUUUUUGGUAAGCAGAACUGGCGCUGUGGGAUGAACCAAACGUCGAGUUAAGGGGCCUAAAAGAACGCUCAUCUGAACCCAUGAAAGGUGUUGGUUGCUAUAGACAGCAGGACGGUGGCCAUGGAAGUCGGAAUCCGCUAAGGAGUGUGUAACAACUCACCUGCC